rnacentral:rRNA from 1 species
ACGUUAGCGGCGGACGGGUGAGUAACACGUGGGUGACCUACCUAUAAGACUGGGAUAACUUCGGGAAACCGGAGCUAAUACCGGAUAAUAUUUCGAACCGCAUGGUUCGAUAGUGAAAGAUGGUUUUGCUAUCACUUAUAGAUGGACCCGCGCCGUAUUAGCUAGUUGGUAAGGUAACGGCUUACCAAGGCGACGAUACGUAGCCGACCUGAGAGGGUGAUCGGCCACACUGGAACUGAGACACGGUCCAGACUCCUACGGGAGGCAGCAGCG